rnacentral:lncRNA from 1 species
GGACUCGUGCUCGACCAGGCCACACUGGAUGAUCUCUUGGUGUCAGGGCACGAUGGAGGUGUCUAUGAUGUCAACCUGGUGCUGAGGUUGGUUAGAAUAUUCGUGAGCACCGAGGAGGGUGGUGGCGCCUCCUCGCAGAGGCUGAAGAAGGUAGGGAGGUUGACCGACAAGUACCUGGGGGAGAUCUCUCCUGACCAGAGCUUGAAGGUGUCCAAGUUUCUCGAGGUGGCUGAGAGCCUCCCGGAUUCAGCUCGAGACUGCUUUGAUGGAGUCUACAGAGCUUUGGACAUCUACCUCGAGGU